rnacentral:lncRNA from 1 species
UUCUCAACUUCAUACUUGGGCUUCCAUGUUUUCUCCCUGUAUGACUCAGCAACCUCCUCGUCACUGGCUAUAAGAAUAUUGUCAAACAAAAUGCCUUCCUGCAUUGUCCAGAUCUCGAUACCAAUAGAAGCAAUCGGCUCAAAGUCGGGCUUGUCGAGCUCAAAAUAGUCGGGAUUAGGUAUCUCCUGUGGCUUCCAGAUACCUUUGUAGUUUGGGUUGUCGAUUAAAGGAGCAUGCCAUUUUCCCUUGUAAGCUGGAUUCUUCUUCAUUGGCCUCUUCCACUCCCCACAGCCAGGUGCUGCUUCGCACUUUGGGUUGUCGAUCUUAGGUGCCUCCCAUUCUCCAUCCUCCUCAUCAUCCCAAUCUUCAGGUUUGGUGGCUUCAGGAUCAUCAAUUUCCUCAGGUUCAUCAUCCAGCCAACCUUCAGGUUUAACAGCAUCCUCAUCUUCAAUCUCUGGUGGAGCAUCCUCAUCCCAGUCAUCAGGCUUAACAGCAUCUGGAUCUGGAAUCUUAGGCCUCUCAUCCCAGUCCUCAGGCUUCUUAUCAUCAGGAUCAGGAAUUGUCUUAGGUGGGAUGAGUGCUGGUUCAAAAUCAUCAGCGGACAAGAAGUUUGCUUUCUUUUUUUCCUCACCAUCAAUCAAAAUCCUCAACUCAUUAUCAGGUUUCAAAACAGCAGUGUAGACAUGAGUGAGCUUGUCAGAUGGGACAGAUGGAGGGUAUUUGAGAUGGUGCUCGAUAAACUUCCCACUCUUGGGAUUCUUGUGUUUAAGGAUGAAAUGCACCUUAUUUGUGGAUCCACACUUGUCAGGUCCAAACAUAAUGGUAUAGGGAGACUCAUUAUCAAACUCCUUGGGAAUCCACCCAGCCUCCUGAGGACGUAGGUACUUCAGAUAUGCACCUCCACAUUCAAGUCCAUUCUGAAGUCGAGCUUCAUACUGGAGGACGAUGGUUCCAUCCUUGAGCAUGACUGGCUCAUCAAGUUCUUUGACUAUUGCAUACUUCCUUGCCUUCUCACUCACAAGAAGACCGUAGUCUUCAUGUCCCUCACUCUUGGAAUGUUUCCAUACACCUGAACCAGAAAACAACAAUCAAUGCCGAACAGAGCAGCCGGAUGCCAACAAAUUGCCUUAGAAACAUAAUGGUUGGAAGAAAAGAUGUUAGGAAGACUAUAAAAUAAUGGAACGGUAUACAGUAUACAGCAUUGAUUUCUUUUGUAAUGCAUGAAAACCACACAAAGCAGCUUAUGCAGCUUAAACAUCAAGGAUUGAUGUUACAAGCUAACCUAAUAACUCAAUUGUUACCUGAUUUGCUACAAGAAAUAUAUUCUGUACAUGUGUGCAAUGCUAAUAUUUUAAGCACAAAAAAAUAGCCCCGUUUGCAAAACUACAAUAUUUUCUGUGCAUGCAUGCAGGACAGUUCUUAGUCCUUCUAUUACUAAUUUGUAAAACGGUUCGUACUCAGCUGGGCUAUCCCCUGAAUUUGUUAGAAUGCAUCUAUUACUAAUUUGUCAGAAUGCAUGCAGAACAGUUCUUACUCAGCCGUGCUAUCUCCUGAAUUUGUUAGAAUGCAUCUAUUACUAAUUUGUUAGAAUACAUACAGAACAGUUCUUACUCAGCUAUGCUAUCCCCUGAAUUUGUUAGGAUGCAUCUAUUACUAAUUCUUUUCACCAUGCUACCAACAAAAGCAUACACCAGCCAAGAUGAGGACUGCAGUUUUGAUAAUUACACAUGCCAGAGUACAAGAGUUGCUAACAAUUCAUGGUAGAGAUUGUUCAUCAGGCAACAACUGUACUGCUAUGUGAAAAGGCAACAGUAUAGGGUCAAUUCCAUUUCCAUGGAUGCAUUUUCUAUAUAUAUGUGUGCGCGCGCGCGCGCAUGCGCAUGUGUGUCUGUGUGACUGCAAAAGUUUGAGCACAGAUUAUUGUUGAAAUAAGUUGUGAGACUCAUGUUGACUCCAAUUACAAAUUUACAUUAAGCCUACGAAGCCAACUAGCCUCUGCAAGUUAUACCCUUCUUCCAUAAAUGCCCCCCCCCCCCAGCAACCCCUUCCUCUUCCAGAGAAAGAAAAACAGAGUAAAAAAGGAGAAUGUAUAUACGUUCAUAGAGGAGAAGGUGUGCGAGAGAGAGAGAGAGAGAGAGAGAGAUUAAUUGAGGAAUGGCGGAUGUUUAUCAUCCAUGUGAAUUUCAUUAAAUAGGAAACAAAAAAGAAAACCAAAAACUUCAUCAGUUAUUCAGAUCACAGCCAUUUAUUAAAUACUAGGUACUAGUAGAAAAAUAUGAAACAGCCACUUCUUUAAUUGCAUGUAUCACGUACUAGGUACUAGCGGACAUAUAAGCAACAGCCAAUAACAACAUAUGUCAAAGCCCAAAUUAUUAAUUAACAUUGAAUUAUAGUAACAGAUAGGAAAGAUCUCAUUAAACCAAUCAUAUACUCGCUUGUGGCCUAGCUUCCCUGCCUUCUAUCUUAAUAAGGUUAACAGGUUUUUGUUAAUAAUUUUCUAGAUUUACAUGUCAAUUUAUGUUGCUAGCUGAUUAUAUGUUAAGUCAAUAUUUUGCAUUAGCACAUCAUACAAUAUGAAAAUAUAGGUACAUUGGCCCCAAAAAAAGACAUUAUGUUUAAAACAAUGAACCCCACCAGGAAUCCGUAGAACUCAAUAUAACACCUCAAUUACAUAGGUCAGCAAGCUUAGACAACUUUCAGUCAGCCUGCAGGUAUCAAUAGAAUCCUGUCUGACAAAACUAACAAACUAAAGGAGGACCAACCAACCAAAAUAACUCAGAUUCUUUGUUUUUUGGGGGUUGGGGGGGAGGCCUAAAAUAGAAAAAGAAAACAGUCGAAUAAUUGUUUAUUAGUAUAAAAAUAAUCUGCUAGGUCCUAUUUGUAAACCAAACAAAGAAAACUUUUCCAUCUUCAAGCAUAAGAAGAGUGCCAAGUGCACCAAAGAGUACCCAGUGCUAAUACAGUUUGUAAAAGAAAAAGACCAUCAUCCUCCGACACUACCAUAAAUUCAUUUUCAAGAUUGCGAAGAUCCAAAAUGAGCUCACUUCCAAUAACAAGAGAAAAAACAGUGCAGUUUAAACUAGAUUUUUUUUCAAUUUAAACACUCCAUUUGUUUGCAUAUGAAAAAUUGAUUUAGCAAAAACUCUUCAAUAGUCAGUGCAGCAAGGAGUUUGGCCUUAAAAACUGAUAAUUUAAUAAAACAAAACUGUCACAAGUUGACCAGGCAAGGAGGCAUUAACCACAAAUUUUUUAUUCAUAUGACAAUAUGAUAUCUAGAAAAUAGAUGAAAACUCACUGCCCAGGUUCAACUAAAUUGUGCAGCUAACAUGGGGUCCCACUGCCUUGAACAGGGUACACAACCUCCACAUACCAUAUAGGCAUAUUUGACGAUGGACAAAACUAGCAUUCCUCUUUCUAGAAACAAUCCAGCACACAACCUAUCAUUCAUUCUGGUUAAUUUCAUCCAGACCUCACAAUAGCAUCAAGAAUGUCUGGAUCCUUGAAAAAAAACACAUUUUCUUGUAUUGUAGAAUUAGCAUGAUAGUGAUCAACCUAAAUGAAGAGACCCCUUAAAAGAGAUAAAAGACUACCUCAAGCACUACAACCCGUAGAAAUUGUUCCUGGUAUAGCAAACUAGCUUGUUCACACAUUCAUUAAUUGAUCAAACCAAAGGUAGGUAGGUGCACGACAAUUAUAUAAGUAAUGAUUCAGGUUGCUUAUAAAAACUAUCUCAAGCUUCUGUAGAAAUUGUUCCUGGUAUAGCGAACUAGCAUGUUCCUACAUUUCAUUAAUUGAUCAAAGCAAUAGUAAGGUGCACAACAAUUUUUACCAAUAGUAGUUCACAUUGCUUACAUCGAACCCAUUAUAUCCUAUACAGCACCAUACCUAGAUAACUUAUUUUGAUAAGUCUCUCUCUCUCUCUCUCUCUCUCACACACACACACACACACACACACACACACACACACACACACACACAACACACACAUACACGCACAGAGAGACAAAUAUGUAUGUAUAUGUAUAUAACUACUGUAAGCACUUGAGAGCCCAACCUAGAGCCAUUAAAUUAUCGAUCAUAGAGUUCACUAGUUUUUACUGCAAUAAUAAUGCCAAUCUUACACAUGGCAUCCUAGCUUUUAUAAAUCUAUAACUUGCUUAUCUGAACGCACAGAUAAUGAAAACUAUGUAACACGUCAAUAGCUGUCGGAUCAAUGGUCAGGAGACAAUGACUACAAACUACGAGGGCCCUCUAAAGAUUUUCCCCAGAUUGGUACGGUGCCCUUUCCUUAUUUGCUUUCCAUAUAAACACAUCAGCAGUAAUUCAAAGAGUACUGAAGUCUAAAGUAGGAUCAAAAUAUUUGCACUAAAGAAAAGGGAAAAAGAAAAGAUAUCAUUCAACCGCAGACGUUAGAAGGCCGGCUACUGUAAAUAGAAAUUAAAAAAUAAUUAAUUAUAUUAUUAUAUUAUUAGUAGUAUUAUUAUUAUGAUCAUCAUUAUUACUUUGGCGUAGAUCCGUUAGCUGACACAAGCAACUGUCGACAGAUCAGUAUACCAAGUCGAUCAGACCAAAAAGAUAAGAUCUUUAAACUUAUCUACUCCUAUCAGAAGAACUUAAUGCGCGCAUUUGGUUACGGUAGAGAUAUCGAUCGGAUCUGGGAGCUAUACCUGUGUAAUCCUCCUUCUCUGACACGAUCCACCGCCCGUCCAAGGUCUCGUCGAACGAUUCAUAGAAAAGCUGGAGCAAAAACCAUCGACCCUCACCAAUUAUAACUCCAGACACUCAAAAAAAAAAGACGAAAAAAUCAAAUCGCCAUGUGAGAGAAAAAAAUAAAUACCGGAUCUGAAGCCCAAAUCUGGAGCACGAAGGACGCGAUCAAAAUCAGGAGGAGCCGCGGCGCUAUCUGCCACCCUCCCAUCGCAGCCGUGGAAGGAGACCAGGCAGGAGAGGAGAGUUGGAGAUCACAAGAGCGGAUCGGAGUGAAACCCUAACCGUGGUUCUCGAUCACGGGUUUAGAUCAUUCGAGAGGGGAGAGGGUCGGAACGCGACACCGAGAGAUAUUAACCACGAGAAAACCAACGGCGGAGAUGGGCCGAUGGAAACCACCGCUCUUCGGCUCCCUCCCUUCAAUCCACCCUCAUGCGAAACCAGGAGUGACCACAAUAAAACGCCGCUGGUGACUUGCUUCGUCCAAUGACACUAGAGAACACGUUGACCUGGCCAAUAGUAGCACGACACGUCAGAUUACUGGUGGCCAGCUCCAGCCGACGCUAUUAUCCAGUUGGCAGGAUUGGUAAAACCAAGGGUCCAGAUCUAAUAGCUUUUCCGGAAGGUUUAUAAAGCCCCAGGUUCGACCAUAAUUUGGCGAAAAUUCCCUCAAGGCGGGUCCAGCCGUGAAAACCCGUGCAAGAUUCUUAUCGGCUCGGACUUUCUUGCAGCGGUAACGGCUUGUCACCAUAUGCUACGGUCACAAUGUAUGGUAGAUAGAUAGUGAGAUGAAGGAAAAAUUCUAGGUUUCGCCCUUAAUCACAAUUAUCUCAUGUUUAGCGCUACUUUUUGCCCAAAUGUUGGGUUUUCUUACUGUGCUUUAAACCCUUGUAUCGAAAGAAGAUUGGCACUUUCAUUAGGGGUCAUCUAUAGAUGGCACUGACAUCUUAAAUGACAACAAUUAUCUCUCAUCACAUGUUGCAUCUCAAUUAUAAAAUACUUUUUCUUGGUACUAAAUUUGGCCGAGAACAUUGCUGUGUACAAGCUUCAUGAUUUAUUUAUGACAUGCUCGAUAAUUUUGGAGAUAGAUUAUGUAUUACAUGCAAUGUUUAUCGCACUAGUAUUAGUUUAUAUGGUGCUUUUGCUGCUCUUCGUGCAUGUUGUUGUUUCUCUCAUGUUUUUUUUUAUACGAUGCAAGAAUAUUGCAUAAUUUCACUAAAAAUUACGGUGUUUUCUUGAUAACUGUAUACAAAUUGAAAUCAUUCAAAUUAUACAAAGCAAAAUUUUCAUUUUUUCCUCCUAAUUUCAUGUUCUUGUCUCUUGUUGCUUUUUUUUUCUUUCUGAUAACUUGCAAGGAGGAUAAACACUCCCCCUCUCUUAGUUUCUAUGUGAUAUAUUCUUCAAUGGCAAACUCUUGGGCAUGCUUGUUAAGCUACAUUAAUUCAUACAAUUUUCUUUUUUAAGAAAAAAAUUAAUUGUGUCAGGGGCAAUAAACCCUAGAGUGACUCGUCAUAAGCACAAAGCAUGGGAGAUCCUUUAGAAGAAAGGAUGGAGCAUAAGAACAAUUUGUUUGAACACCGGAAAGGGUAAAAAAAAGGGUAUAAUUUAUGGGACAAAGUUUCAUCUCUGCAUGCAUAAUACGACCUAGGAUGCAUUUUCGAAGCCAUCUCAUCUCUCUACAUGUCGUGCAAAGCCCCAAAUAAUAGAAGAUGAAAUCCAUGAUGGAUUCAGACAAGAAGAGUAGAGCUUCUUCUCCAACACUUAGAAGAAAAAAAUGAAGACACAAGAAAAUAACUUUGUUGGUUUUAAAGUGAGGUGUAGAAUACAUACAGAUUUUUGGAUACCUAACACCACUAACUCAUGCAUUGAUAUUUAAAGAAAACCAGAACUCAUGUGUGGGCCUACAAUGUGGCAUUACACCCACUUACAUGGCACUACUUACAUAAGAUUUGGUACACAUACAAUUGCCUCCUAAAAACUUGGUAACAUAAGAUCCACUACUAACAGCUAAUAUAGAUCAGCAAAUAAACAAAACUCAUUCAAAAUAAAAAACUACAAACUCAACUCCAUGUAUGUAGGGUCGGCUCAAUCUUUAGGCGACUGAGGUGGUCACCUAAGGCUCUGGCCCCUAAAUGCAUUUAUUAUAGUGAGUUGCAAGAUGAGUGUCCAAAUGCAUUGAAUCCCCUAAAGCAUUUGAGGGCCUCAAUGCUACGUAUCUUUAUAGCUAUAAAUGCAUUGAGGCCUCCAAAUGCAUUUAUGUUGGAACGUAUCUCUUAUCUAAAGAAAUUUAUUAUCUCUUUCCUUAUUUAUGCAUUGAUGCUCCUAAAUGCAUUUAUGUUGGGGCCUUUAAGUUCGCCUUAGGCCCUCAAAUGCAUUGAGUCGGUCCUGCACGUAUGUGCAUGAUAGCUGGUGUGAUUUGCAUCACACUUCAUCUCUCCCCCUUGAUGCAAAAUCACAAACACCAAGGAGAGAUCGGAACUUCAUGAACUUUGGGUACGAGAGAGCUUUGGUGAAGCCAUAUGUAACUUGUUCAUUGGUUGACCAAUAUUUCAACACGAUCAUGCCUUCGGCAACGACGCCUCAUAUGAAAUGGUAACAAAGUUCAAUGUGUUUGGUUCUUCCAUGGAACACCAUACUUUUGAUCUAAACAAUUUCUCAUCAGCUUUGGUUGUCCCUUCAUUUAAGCUUAAUUUCUCAUUUGCAUUCAUGGGGGUAGAAAAGGCCUUGCAGUUUAGCAAGUUAUACUUCUUAAGCAAAUCCAAUGCAUAUUUAUCUUGAGAAAUAAAAAUGCCAUCAUUAGUUUGUUUAACUUGAAGACCAAGAAAAUAAUGCAAUAAUCCCAAAUUAGACAUAUCAAACUCAUGCAUCAUGCUGCCCUUGAAUUCUUGGAUAAGAAAAUCAGAGGAUCUAGUGUAAAUAAUGUCAUCCACAUAAAUACAAACAAUAAGCAUAUCAGUGUAUUUCACCUUCACAUAUAAAGUGGGUUCACUUUCACCUCAGCAGAAGCCAUUUUGGUGAAGAUACGAGUCAAGUUUUCCAUGCCAUACUCUUGGAGCGUGCUUGAGACUGUAAAGUGCCUUUUUCAACUUGUACACUUUUUCCCUUUUCCGUCGACAACAAAUCUCUGUGGUCGCUCAACAUAUACAUCUUUUUCUAAAGUGCCAUUCAAGAAAACAGAUUUAACAUCAAAAUGAAAAACUUUCCACCUCAUAUGAGCUGCCAAUGCUAAUAUAAUUCUAACAGUCUCGAAUCAAGCAACAGGCGAAAAUGUCUCGAGAUAAUUAACACCAUAUUUUUGUACAUACCCUUUGACAACCAAUCUCGCCUUAUAUUUUUGUAUACUUCCAUCGAUAUUGCACUUCACCUUAUAGAACCAUUUCACACCAAUGGGUUUUUUUUCUUUACGUCAAUUCUACAAGCUCCCAUGUGUUAUUUCUUUCAAUGGUAGCCAUUCCUCUUUCAUGGAGUUUUCUCAUUCUUCUUUGCCACAAGCCUCUUCAUAACAUGUAGGUUCUGUAACCAUAAGAACAAAACUGCAUGAUUCAUAAAUCUUUUUCAAAGACCGUACCUUUCUUGGAGCGGUAUCACCAUCAAGUGUAGGAUUAAUGUUGUUGCUACUUGAACUCCUCAACUCUCUUGGUGAAGUCUUCCCAAAAAGCCUAGGUGAUGGAGAAGCAUGAGGUGAUGGCACAUUCUCAUUUAAUGGAGUUAUUUCUGAUUCAUCUUCCAUGAAUGGCAAAUGCUGAUUUGGNNNNNNNNNNNNNNNNNNNNNNNNNNNNNNNNNNNNNNNNNNNNNNNNNNNNNNNNNNNNNNNNNNNNNNNNNNNNNNNNNNNNNNNNNNNNNNNNNNNNNNNNNNNNNNNNNNNNNNNNNNNNNNNNNNNNNNNNNNNNNNNNNNNNNNNNNNNNNNNNNNNNNNNNNNNNNNNNNNNNNNNNNNNNNNNNNNNNNNNNNNNNNNNNNNNNNNNNNNNNNNNNNNNNNNNNNNNNNNNNNNNNNNNNNNNNNNNNNNNNNNNNNNNNNNNNNNNNNNNNNNNNNNNNNNNNNNNNNNNNNNNNNNNNNNNNNNNNNNNNNNNNNNNNNNNNNNNNNNNNNNNNNNNNAUUGCAUAUAUGUCGAUGAUUUUGUAUCAGUUCUCUCUCUCUCUCUCUCUCUCUCUCUUUCUUUUGCUAAAAGGGAAGGAAACACCACCCAACUUGAUUGGGAAAAUUUAUUGUCAUCAUAUUGUAACCAUCAGCCCUCAUCCUCACCCGACAAAAAAAAAAUAAUACAAAAACAAAAACAAAGCAAUAAAGGAAAAAGCCUCUUCAAUCUAAGUUUCACAAUUCUUAUGCAUAUAGUCGGUCAACCUUUUCAUGUUGCACCUCAAAGAUUAUAAGUAGGUUCACACAAACUGACUUCCAAUUUAAAUUCAAGAUCCAUUUCUAUGCCAAUGCUCAAACAGACCUCAUGAAAACAAAAGACAACUUGAUAGUUUAUGCUAAAAUACUAGCACUAAUACACCGAAUCCCAUUAAAACUCUACAGUUAAGCAUGCUUGGACGAGUGUACCAAAACGGGCAACCCCCUUGUUGCAACCUUUUUAUUUUAGUGGCUUUGCCUCCCUCUUCAUCAUCAAAAAAAAAAAAAGUUUACUGCUAAAAUACUACUUACCAACAACGAACCUCUACUACAAAACUGCUUCAGUGAUAAGCCAACAAAAACUAGCAGAUUGAAAUAAAACCGGUCAUGUCCACCUAGAAAUCCCAUAUUGGUUUCUCCAGCGCAGCUGAACCAUCAGACAUCUGAUGAUAAGGAUACAUUCCAUGUCCACUUGGCUGCUGCCCAUCCGAAUAAUUUAGCGCAACUGCACUCUCAUCAUAGCUAGGAUUGCCAAAGCCUGCAUCUCCAAGGGGUCCCAAGCCAAGGAAAUCCUGAGUCAUUCUCACUUCUCUAUCCCCCGCAAUCUCUUCGCAAGUGCUUUGCUGCAUCUGUCCUCCCAAAACAGCCAUGGAAGUCUGGUUUUCUGCUCUCAUUGGAAGAGAGAGGCCAACCAGUCCACUCUGAGAGAAUGCUGGAGGUCUGUAAUCACUAGUAGUCCAUUUUGAGUUCGCCUGAAGGGCGCUUUGGUUUUCGACAUAAGAACCACCGGAUGUUGCGGACAUCAAUCCCAGAUUACGAGCUGCGGAGCCUUCCUCUAUGGAGGAGCCCAGGCACUGAGAAGAAACAUCACCAUGACCGCUAAGAGGCUGCUUGAGAGACCCCGAUGCUCUGGGUGCAGCUGAGUAGCCCGUGAAACCUCUGAGAAGUAUAGGAGAAAUUGAAUCAUCGCUGACCUUCGCUCCCAUCUCCGCCGCUUUCUGGAGCAAAGCGGUUGCGGACAUGAAAGGAGAGCCCAUCGACAUGUGGUGACUGCUCGAUCCACUUCCACUAAGCUGGAGACAAGCAGUGCGUGUCGUGCUUUGAUUGAAAAGCAUAUCGGAGCUGCCUGGAAUUGAAGGAUUUAGUGAUAAGGAUCUUAGAGGGUUGUUUGAAUUCCGAUCAGAGUUGGAUGGGUUUGUAAUUGUAUCUGUGGUGGAGGGAUGCAAACUAGGCACUGCUUGUGCCUGGCUAUGCAAGCUUCCAACCAUGGCGGCGAGACCGUGAUUUAUUCUGUAGUUCUCUUCAGUCAGUGCAUCGCAGAAUGCUCGGUGAGUCACGAAGCUAUCCUUCCUGAAGCAACAAGAACAGAAUUUAGCCUAUAGAAAUUAUCUGCUCUUCUUAUGCACUACUUUGUUUGCUUGCAAUCUAACUUUCAAGCACUCUACUCCAAAAUGAAAGAGGAUUGACGCAUACCUUGAAAAAAUCGUUCCACAAUCGCAGCGGUAUUCUUUAGUGCCGCAUACCUUUGCAUGAGCCUUCCAGUCCGAUUGAACUGCGUAUCUCUUGGAGCACUUGUCGCACUUCCAUUUCUUCUCCCCAUGCUUUCUCGAGUAAUGCUUCUUGAUGCCUGUCAAGUCACCUAGAGCCCGGCUUGGGUCAUGGUGAGUGCAGCUCUCCUCAGGGCAGAUAUAUACCCUCUUCUUAGCUUCUGCACCGCUCCUUUGUUUCAGCUUCCAUGGAAGGUUAUGACCCCUCCUGUGUAGCUGAAGGUUCUGAUCCCUCUGAAAGCCUUUAUGACACACUUCACAUAUGUACCGGUUUGUUGCUAAAAGGGUCCUGGGAGAAAGAGCUAUCACCUCCGCGUCCGGGUCUACAAGUUGGAUAUACUAAAGUCAAUCUUCUGAAACCACAGGAGCGAAACCUAGUAACCUAUUGUAAGUUUAAUUUUUCUCCAAUUCAGAAAAGGUCAUUCAUCAUGGUUCAGAAGAAGCUCAUGUUGAAUGGUUGAUAUGCCACUGAAAAUUUUGAGUUCCCUUCAAAAAAUUAGAGUGAGUUAUCCAAUUUUUUGUAUUUCUCAGCUCGGAUGAUACCGGAGCAUGCAUGAAUUCUAAAUUCAAAGUCGUAGCAGAUAGCUUAAUCAAACCAUAUAUUCCAUCUUCAAAAGCUGUUUAAUAAAUCAUAACGCAUACUCUAGCACACCGGUAUGCUAAUAAAAUUAUCAAAAAACUUACACAUAGCCUUUUAUUUUCUGCAUAUUUUUUUAAACAACUGACAUGCAGCAAAAUCUCAGGUGCUGUUCAAA